UACAUGUGGGGCAAGCGUUGUUCGGAAUUACUGGGCAUAAAGGGUGCGUAGGUGGUUUGUUAAGUCACGGGUGAAAGUUUUCGGCCCAACCGGAAAAUUGCCCGUGAUACUGGCGAACUUGAGUGCGUGAGGGGUAACCGGAACGAGCAGUGUAGCGGUGAAAUGCGUAGAUAUUGCUCGGAAGGCCAGAGGCGAAGGCGGGUUACUGGUGCGCAACUGACACUGAGGCACGAAAGCGUGGGGAGCAAACAGG
rnacentral:rRNA from 1 species